GAGGACAUGUGGUGUGCCAGGACAAACGUUGAGGGUUAAACACAGCCGUGUGGUUCAAAAAUCACAGCGAGAAGAGCUUCGGUCGAGGAGAACAUCUCUUUGAAAAUAAGAGUCACUCCUCGUUAUACUACAGUAAGUGCUUCAGGUUCAUAAAAUCACCCCCGUUUCACUCGACACACCCAACCUCUGAUAUGUCCUCAGGAUUUACUUACAGUGAUAUCUGUGAGUAGAAAUUACACACACACACACAAAAAUAGACACCCUGUGGCUUCGGUAGAGGAAAUGUUCAGACGUGGGAGGGCGAAAGAGACGUU